rnacentral:rRNA from 1 species
GAUGAACGCUGGCGGCGUGCCUAAUACAUGCAAGUCGAGCGAACAGACGAGGAGCUUGCUCCUCUGACGUUAGCGGCGGACGGGUGAGUAACACGUGGAUAACCUACCUAUAAGACUGGGAUAACUUCGGGAAACCGGAGCUAAUACCGGAUAAUAUAUUGAACCGCAUGGUUCAAUAGUGAAAGACGGUUUUGCUGUCACUUAUAGAUGGAUCCGCGCCGCAUUAGCUAGUUGGUAAGGUAACGGCUUACCAAGGCGACGAUGCGUAGCCGACCUGAGAGGGUGAUCGGCCACACUGGAACUGAGCCACGGUCCAGACUCCUACGGGAGGCAGCAGUAGGGAAUCUGCCGCAAUGGGCGAAAGCCUGACGGAGCAACGCCGCGUGAGUGAUGAAGGUCUUCGGAUCGUAAAACUCUGUUAUUAGGGAAGAACAAAUGUGUAAGUAACUAUGCACGUCUUGACGGUACCUAAUCAGAAAGCCACGGCUAACUACGUG